rnacentral:rRNA from 1 species
ACGGGAGGCAGCAGUGAGGAAUAUUGGUCAAUGGGCGAGAGCCUGAACCAGCCAAGUAGCGUGCAGGAUGACGGCCCUAUGGGUUGUAAACUGCUUUUGUGCGGGAAUAACGUGCUCCACGUGUGGGGCAGUGCAUGUACCGUACGAAUAAGGAUCGGCUAACUCCGUGCCAGCAGCCGCGGUAAUACGGAGGAUCCGAGCGUUAUCCGGAUUUAUUGGGUUUAAAGGGAGCGUAGGCCGUGCUUUAAGCGUGUUGUGAAAUGUAGGCGCCCAACGUCUGCACUGCAGCGCGAACUGGAGCACUUGAGUACGCAGGAAGUAGGCGGAAUUCGUCGUGUAGCGGUGAAAUGCUUAGAUAUGACGAAGAACUCCGAUUGGGAAGCCAGCUUACUGUAGCGCCACUGACGCUGAUGCUCGAAAGCGUGGGUAUCGAACAGGAUUAGAUACCCUGGUA